AAUGCAGAGGUGGGGGACAGAGUGGGUGGGGAGGGGAGCCGCCAUACAGUGGCCAGGACCAGCUUUGCCCAAGUGGUGGCAACCGCAUGACCACAGGAACGAUGGCGUGAGCCCCGUGGCAACCUGGAGGAAGGGGUGUGAGAAGAAAACAUUAGAACUUCUAUUUUGUACCUGUGUUACUCCACAACAAGAAAGCAAUCAGCUUGAUCAAUGCCUACUGUAAAGACGGCACCGCCCUCCGGAGGUCCUUUCUCAGCCCUGGUGUUCGGACAGCCACAUCCCCUCGCAGCAGGGGGAGGCCUGAAGCAUAGAGGGGCCCAUGCAGGUCUAUUCUGUUUCAGCGAAUUGCCUGGGAAAUAAUCCAGGAUCCAUUUCGUGUGGUCAUCUUGUCUCCCUGGUCCCCUCCAGCCUUUCCUCAUCUUUUGUGACCUGGUCACUCUGGAAGGGCGCUGGCCAGUUAGUCCACAGGAUGGGCCUCCCCUGGGGCUUUUCUGAUGCUUCCUUAUGAUGGCACUGGCAUCCUGAGGGGGAGGACCACAGAGAGGAGGUGCUCCUCAUCACACCACAUGGGGGUCCAUGCACCAGUGCCACUGCUUUCCAGGGCUCUUCACCUUCAUCACUGGUGGAGGUGGCGUCUGCCAAGAAGCAGAAAGUUGAGGCUUAGAAGGUGCACGGCCCUACCUCUUCCGAGGUGCCCCUGCGGGCUGUCUACAGACCAGGCAGCACAUGCCUGAUAGCAGCUGCAUAAGGAAAAGCAGGAGCCAGCUCGUGCACAGUGGCCUCAAGUGUGCACUGGGCAUGUUCUCUGCCUCACCAUCCCUGUGUGACAGAUGAAGCAUGGCAAGCCAGGCUCCAGAGAAGCAUCCUGAGGACCAGUGUUCCUAGGGACCUCAUUCUUCUGACCUCAUUCCUACAACGUUUUGUCACUGCAAAGGAAAUCACCAAGGCCAGCAUGACAGCCCUCAACAGAAGCCAAGGCCAAGUCCUCGAACUUCCUAGUCUGCACAAUGACACUUCUGAUGAAACUGAAAAUGCCACCAGGGAGAAGCAGCUGAAAUAACACUUGUGCUGAGGUCGCUGAGCCACUGUGGAAGACAUCCAAGCUCCAUAAAGACAGGUCAAGUGCACAUGCUCCAGUCAACAGCCCAGCUGAGCCCUCAGCAUACAGCCAACACCAACUGCAAGCUGAGGGUGAAACAACUUGGAUGUCCAUUUGGAUGUCAAGCUGGACUUCAGAUGCCUGUGGUUGCAGCUCUGUCUGCAACUACAUGGAAGACGCCAUGUGAACCACCUAGUAGAGCCCUUCCUAGAAUUGUUGGCCCUCAGACUCUACAUGCAUAUCAAAAUGAAUGUUGUUUGAAGCCAU
rnacentral:lncRNA from 1 species